UACGGAGGAUGCAAGCGUUAUCCGGAAUGAUUGGGCGUAAAGCGUCCGCAGGUGGCUGUGUAAGUCUGCUGUUAAAGAGUCAUGCUCAACAUGAUAAGAGCAGUGGAAACUACACGGCUAGAGUGCGUUCGGGGCAGAGGGAAUUCCUGGUGUAGCGGUGAAAUGCGUAGAGAUCAGGAAGAACACCGGUGGCGAAAGCGCUCUGCUAGGCCGCAACUGACACUGAGAGACGAAAGCUAGGGGAGCGAAUGGG
rnacentral:rRNA from 1 species